UACGUAGGGUGCAAGCGUUUAUCCGGAAUCACUGGGCGUAAAGCGUGCGUAGGUGGCGCGUUAAGUGAGAUGUUAAAUCGUGUGGCUCAACCAUAUCGAUGCAUCUCAUACUGGCGUGCUAGAGGACGGCAGAGGCAAGUGGAAUUGGUAGUGUAGCAGUGAAAUGCGUAGAUAUUACCAGGAACACCAAUGGCGAAGGCAGCUUGCUGGGCCACUCCUGACACUGAGGUACGAAAGCGUGGGGAGCGAACAGG
rnacentral:rRNA from 1 species